rnacentral:RNase_P_RNA from 1 species
GCGGAAGGUCGGAUGACCGCGUGCCCUGAUCAGGGCGCGAGGAAAGUCCGGGCUCCAUGAGGCAAGGGUGCCGGGUAACGCCCGGCUGGGGUAACCCAAGGGAAAGCGCCACAGAAAACAAACCACCAUGCAUGCAUGGCAAGGGUGAAACGGUGGGGUAAGAGCCCACCGCGGGACGGGCAACCGGACCGGCACGGCAAGCCCCACC